GGUCCAUUAGCUCAGUUGGUAGAGCACAUCACUUUUAAUGAUGUUGUCCCGCGUUCGAGUCGCGGAUGGAUCACCA
rnacentral:tRNA from 1 species